rnacentral:rRNA from 1 species
CCUACGGGGGCGCUGCAGUGGGGACUAUUGGACAAUGGGCGAAAGCCUGAUCCAGCCAUGCCGCGUGUGUGAAGAAGGCCUUCGGGUUGUAAAGCACUUUCAGUGGGGAAGAAAGCCUUGGGGCUAAUACCCUCGAGGAAGGACAUCACCCACAGAAGAAGCACCGGCUAACUCCGUGCCAGCAGCCGCGGUAAUACGGAGGGUGCGAGCGUUAAUCGGAAUUACUGGGCGUAAAGCGCGCGUAGGCGGUCUGAUAAGCCGGUUGUGAAAGCCCCGGGCUCAACCUGGGAACGGCAUCCGGAACUGUCAGGCUAGAGUGCAGGAGAGGAAGGUAGAAUUCCCGGUGUAGCGGUGAAAUGCGUAGAGAUCGGGAGGAAUACCAGUGGCGAAGGCGGCCUUCUGGACUGACACUGACGCUGAGGUGCGAAAGCGUGGGUAGCAAACAGGAUUAGAUACCCCAGUAGUC